GAGAGUUAAACAGUACGUGAAAUUGUUGAAAGGGAAACGAUUGAAGCCAGUCGUACCUUCGGGUAAUCAGCCUUUCGGGUGCGAUUCUGUGGGGUUUGAGGAGCUUAACACCUUCAUGCUUUGCAUAUUCGUGCUCUUGGGUGUACUUGCCCGUGUGGUUGGUUAACAUCAAUUUUGGUGGUCAUAAAAUGACUGGAGGAAUGUAGCUUCGAUCUCGUAUUGAAGUGUUAUAGCCUUCGGUAGAUGUGAUGAUCGAGAUUGAGGAUUGCAACGGAUACCCUUCGGGGCUACCUGUCUGAUCUCUGAUCGUUGCUCUGGUGCCGAAAGCUUGCUUACGGUUAUCAAAGUCGAUGGUCAAUAGGUUAGAACGGGUUAAAUUCGUUAAGGAUGUUGACGUAAUGGCUUUAAACGA
rnacentral:rRNA from 1 species